GACGAACGCUGGCGGCGUGCUUAACACAUGCAAGUCGAACGAUAAGGCCCUUCGGGGUACACGAGUGGCGAACGGGUGAGUAACACGUGGGUGACCUGCCCUGCACUUCGGGAUAAGCCUGGGAAACUGGGUCUAAUACCGGAUAGGACCACUGCCUGCAUGGGUGGGGGUGGAAAGCUUUUGCGGUGUGGGAUGGGCCCGCGGCCUAUCAGCUUGUUGGGGGGGUGAUGGCCUACCAAGGCGACGACGGGUAGCCGGCCUGAGAGGGUGACCGGCCACACUGGGACUGAGAUACGGCCCAGACUCCUACGGGAGGCAGCAGUGGGGAAUAUUGCACAAUGGGCGCAAGCCUGAUGCAGCGACGCCGCGUGAGGGAUGACGGCCUUCGGGUUGUAAACCUCUUUCAGCACCGACGAAGCGCAAGUGACGGUAGGUGCAGAAGAAGGACCGGCCAACUACGUGCCAGCCGCCGCCGUAA
rnacentral:rRNA from 1 species